rnacentral:lncRNA from 1 species
GAGCAACAUGUACCUGAGGACUGUGCAGAACGAAAGCUCGGGUUGACGCUGUCCUUGUCCAUUUAAUUUAGAAACGGUGUUGUGUCCAGUAGUCAGAUAGUCAAUUUCAGAUAGAGUUGUGUCACAUGUUAAAUGUAAAGUCAAUGCAUUUGCAACCUUUUAUUAUGCUGAACGGCAAAAGUGCCAUUUCCAGAACGGCAGAAGUUGAGAGAGGAAAGUGGAGUCAUUUUUGAGACAGCAUAGCGAGAAGGAAGUUAUUUUCCGAGGUAGUGCCGCAGAAUGAACUUUAACAUUUUUUUAAAGUAUUCAUCAUGUCCAACACGUGACCUUGGAGCAUUCAUCAAAGACACCUGAUGAAGCCCUACCCAUCGGAUAAGAGGCACACAGCUGGCACCGGCUACUUUCCAUUAGGCAUCUGAGUGGCCGCCUCGUUGGUUGGAGGACCCGC